CAUAGAAGGGUCAAUACAUGAUCGAUCUCUAAUGAACUCUCCCUUGACACUGCCAAAUCCAUGAGUGCAUUUGAGCAAGAGAACACUAGAUGUAACAACUAAGAAGUUUGGAAGGGGAUUGUGUGCAUACCUACUGCCCAGUCAUAUUGUUGUGUACCUACCUACUACCUAGUUAGCUUGUUGCGUGCUUAUUAGGUACUCCAGUGAAAAUAUAUAUUCUUAUGCUUCUUAAUUUGUUGAAGUUAUUUCUUUAGCUUUAUGUUUUAUUUAAAUAUAAAUAACUAUUUGAUUCCUAUUUGAGUA